GGGACAACAGUUGGAAACGACUGCUAAUACCGCAUAAGCCCACGGCUCGGCAUCGAGCAGAGGGAAAAGGAGCAAUCCGCUUUGAGAUGGCCUCGCGUCCGAUUAGCUAGUUGGUGAGGUAAUGGCCCACCAAGGCGACGAUCGGUAGCCGGACUGAGAGGUUGAACGGCCACAUUGGGACUGAGACACGGCCCAGACUCCUACGGGAGGCAGCAGUGGGGAAUAUUGCACAAUGGGGGAAACCCUGAUGCAGCGACGCCGCGUGGAGGAAGAAGGUCUUCGGAUUGUAAACUCCUGUUGUUGAGGAAGAUAAUGACGGUACUCAACAAGGAAGUGACGGCUAACUACGUGCCAGCAGCCGCGGUAAAACGUAGGUCACAAGCGUUGUCCGGAAUUACUGGGUGUAAAGGGAGCGCAGGCGGGAGAACAAGUUGGAAGUGAAAUCCAUGGGCUCAACCCAUGAACUGCUUUCAAAACUGUUUUUCUUGAGUAGUGCAGAGGUAGGCGGAAUUCCCGGUGUAGCGGUGGAAUGCGUAGAUAUCGGGAGGAACACCAGUGGCGAAGGCGGCCUACUGGGCACCAACUGACGCUGAGGCUCGAAAGUGUGGGUAGCAAACAGGAUUAGAUACCCUGGUAGUCCACACCGUAA
rnacentral:rRNA from 1 species